GAAACGAAGACGUCAACCGCCAUGGCGCCUCGACUGCUUUGGAGUUAUCCGGCUCGUCGAUUCGACACGCAGAAGACUUAAGACGAUAUCAAAAGGCCCAGGAAUCGACGCAGCUUUGCAGUCAUGGUCGGGGAGCUUGUCUUUAGGUGGAUGGAAUCUCUGCGUCUUAAGACUGACGAAAGAACCUUUCGGCUGAUGGAGAGGAGAGACGACGGAGAAGUUUUGGGAGACGACCACACACGACAAGAGUGUGGUCUAUCGCGUAAGUUUCAACUGGAUUUAAGUCUCUGGUGGACCGCAGCAUUGAUGAGCAGUGUGACUGGCAACCAAGACGAAAUAAGUUCGAGACACGUGGCAAAAAUGUUGCGGUGAGAAAUUGAGAGGCAACCACCUGUUGAUCGUCAUUACGUCGUUGAAAUGUCGGGUUUGGUAAACAUGCCUUGUCAAAAAAAUUUAAGGAGUAUAUUCGUAUGUCA